rnacentral:lncRNA from 1 species
GUUUUAAUUUCAUCAUUCGCCGCCUGAAGAGACAAGAUGGCGGAGCUUGCGAAAUCGAAAAUUGGUACUUGAAAGUCAAUGGUUGAUCAUGAUGACCAUCUUUAAUUUAAUGGGGAAAGAUUAACCAAUAUUUGCAGCUGGAGAGGCUAUCACCACAGUUCAAUGAUUUAGUUAAGACAAUGAAAUAGAAGAACUUCAUGCUAACACUUGCAUCAGUGGACGUACUUCUUAUUGGAUAGAGAACUUUACAAGGUCAGCCAUCAGCUUUUGAAGUUGCUUUCUUGGCACAUCAUGCUGUCCAGUGGAGUUCAUACCAUAUGCCAGGCCUUUAUUCAUGGUCAAAGAAGAUGAAUUUGUUAUUCAAUUUGUGAAAUUUGAUUUAAGGAGGACUUCCAUAUAUGAUGAUUAUAUUCAGCAGAUUAUCUUCAAGUGUGCACUUCAUAGAUUAAUUGAAAAAUAAGUAAACCUAUCAUACUCACCAUGGCAUCGGCAUUGGCAUUACACCAGUUUUAAGUUUUUCUUACCAGUCCAUAUUUUAAAAGGACCUUUUGAAAGUAUUGAGACUUACAACAGUAAUUUAUCAUCAGUUAUACCAUGUUUUAGGCAAAAGUACAUAACUCCAUCAAGGAUUUGACUGAACUAUGGCCCUUUGAAACUUUUGUCACUUGUUUAUUAUAAUAGUCUCUAUAGGCAAGAGUUAAUAACACUGUAGAGUAAUUUGGUUGAAUUAUGUCCCUUUUGGACUUUGAAAUUGGUUCAGUUUUUGUACAAGUCCACAUUUUGACAUAUAGCUUUGAAUCUUUCAACACUAAGUCUUACCAUUACAAUGAUAUAACUUAAAAUAGUUGU